rnacentral:rRNA from 1 species
GACGAACCGUGCAAACGUUGUUCGGAAUCACUGGGCUUAAAGGGCGCGUAGGCGGGUGACCAAGUCGGGGGUGAAAUCUUUCAGCUCAACUGGAAAAGUGCCCCCGAUACUGGUCGUCUAGAGGGAGGUAGGGGUAUGCGGAACUGCUGGUGGAGCGGUGAAAUGCGUUGAUAUCAGCAGGAACGCCGGUGGCGAAAGCGGCGUACUGGACCUCUUCUGACGCUGAGGCGCGAAAGCUAGGGGAGCAAACGGG